UGAGAGCUUGCUUUUGAUUAUUUUAGCGGCGGCACGUGGUGAGUAACGUGUGGGUAACCUGCCUUUUACUGUGGAAUAAUCGUUGGAAGCGACGACUAAUACCGCAUACGGUUCUUGGAAGGCAUCUUCUAAGAAAGAAAGGAUUUAUUCGGUAAAAGAUGGGCCCGCAUCUGAUUAGCUAGUUGGUGAGAUAAUAGCCCACCAAGGCAACGAUCAGUAGCCGACCUGGGAGGGUGACCGGCCACAUUGGGACUGAGACACGGCCCAAACUCCUACGGGAGGCAGCAGUGGGGAAUAUUGCACAAUGGGCGAAAGCCUGAUGCAGCAACGCCGCGUGAAGGAAGACGGUUUUCGGAUUGUAAACUUCUAUCAAUAGGGAAGAAAGAAAUGACGGUACCUAAAUAAGAAGCCCCGGCUAACUACGUGCCAGCAGCCGCGGUAAUACGUAGGGGGCAAGCGUUAUCCGGAUUUACUGGGUGUAAAGGGAGCGUAGACGGUGAAGCAAGUCUGAAGUGAAAGGCGGGGGCUCAACCCCCGGACUGCUUUGGAAACUGUUUGACUGGAGUGCAGGAGAGGUAAGUGGAAUUCCUAGUGUAGCGGUGAAAUGCGUAGAUAUUAGGAGGAACACCAGUGGCGAAGGCGGCUUACUGGACUGUAACUGACGUUGAGGCUCGAAAGCGUGGGGAGCAAACAGGAUUAGAUACCCUGGUAGUCCACGCGGUAAACGAUGAUCACUAGGUGUCGGUGAG
rnacentral:rRNA from 1 species